CGUGAGGAAGGUAGUGUUAGUUAAUAGCUGCAGUUAUUUGACGUUUAGCGACAGAAGAAGCACCGGCUAACUCCGUGCCAGCAGCCGCGGUAAUACGGGAGGGUGCGAGCGUUAAUCGGAAUUACUGGGCGUAAAGCGCAUGCAGGUGGUUUGUUUAAGUCAGAUGUGAAAGGCCCGGGGCGUCAACCUACGGAAUAGCAUUUAGAAACUGGCAGACUAGAGUACUGUAGAGGGGGGUAGGAAUUUCAGGUGUAGCGGUGAAAUGCGUAGAGAUCUGAAGGAAUACCGGUGGCGAAGGCGGCCCCCUGGACAGAUACUGACACUCAGAUGCGAAAGCGUGGGGAGCAAACAGGAUUAGAUACCCUGGUAG
rnacentral:rRNA from 1 species